rnacentral:rRNA from 1 species
CUGCGAAUGGCUCAUUAAAUCAGUUAUCGUUUAUUUGAUAGUACCUUACUACUUGGAUAACCGUGGUAAUUCUAGAGCUAAUACAUGCUAAAAACCCCGACUUUGGAAGGGGUGUAUUUAUUAGAUAAAAAACCAAUGCCCUUCGGGGCUCCUUGGUGAUUCAUAAUAACUUAACGGAUCGCAUGGCCUUGCGCUGGCGACGGUUCAUUCAAAUUUCUGCCCUAUCAACUUUCGAUUGUAGGGUAUUGGCCUACAAUGGUUUCAACGGGUAACGGGGAAUUAGGUAUGUUAUCUUUUUACGAUCCUUAGACUAGACAGUGUUUUGCUAACAUUUAUAUAGGGUUCGAUUCCGGAGAGGGAGCCUGAGAAACGGCUACCACAUCCAAGGAAGGCAGCAGGCGCGCAAAUUACCCAAUCCCGACACGGGGAGGUAGUGACAAUAAAUACUGAUACAGGGCUCUUUUGGGUCUUGUAAUUGGAAUGAGUACAAUUUAAACCCCUUAACGAGGAACAAUUGGAGGGCAAGUCUGGUGCCAGCAGCCGCGGUAAUUCCAGCUCCAAUAGCGUAUAUUAAAGUUGUUGCAGUUAAAAAGCUCGUAGUUGAACUUUGGGCCUGGCUGGCUGGUCCGCCUCACCGCGUGUACUGGUCCGGCCGGGCCUUUCUUUCUGGAGAGCCGCAUGCCCUUCACUGGGCGUGUCGGGGAACCAGGACUUUUACUUUGAAAAAAUUAGAGUGUUCAAAGCAGGCCUUUGCUCGAAUACGUUAGCAUGGAAUAAUAGAAUAGGACGUGCGGUCCUAUUUUGUUGGUUUCUAGGACCGCCGUAAUGAUUAAUAGGGAUAGUCGGGGGCAUCAGUAUUCAAUUGUCAGAGGUGAAAUUCUUGGAUUUAUUGAAGACUAACUACUGCGAAAGCAUUUGCCAAGGAUGUUUUCAUUAAUCAGUGAACGAAAGUUAGGGGAUCGAAGACGAUCAGAUACCGUCGUAGUCUUAACCGUAAACUAUGCCGACUAGGGAUCGGGCGAUGUUAUUAUUUUGACUCGCUCGGCACCUUACGAGAAAUCAAAGUUUUUGGG